rfam:Pristionchus pacificus strain PS312 contig3709, whole genome shotgun sequence.
UCUUCAUUUCACGUGAUCUCUCGCCUCUCUGACCGGUGAGAGAGUGUGGGAAAUGAAGAGA